UAAGGAAUAUUGCUCAAUGGGAGAAAUCCUGAAGCAGCAACGCCGCGUGGAGGAUGAAGGGUCUAUGACUUGUAAACUCCUGUAAAGAAGGAAAAAAUUCCCAUUUGAUGGGAGAUGAUGGUACUUCUGGAGUAAGCCCCGGCUAACUACGUGCCAGCAGCCGCGGUAAUACGUAGGGGGCAAGCGUUGUCCGGAAUUAUUGGGCGUAAAGCGCGCGCAGGCGGCUUAUUAAGUCUGAUGUGAAAGCCCACGGCUCAACCGUGGAGGGCCAUUGGAAACUGGUAGGCUUGAGUGCAGGAGAGGAGAGCGGAAUUCCCGGUGUGGCGGUGAAAUGCGUAGAUAUCGGGAGGAACACCCGUGGCGAAGGCGGCUCUCUGGCCUGUAACUGACGCUGAGGCGCGAAAGCGUGGGGAGCAAACA
rnacentral:rRNA from 1 species